rnacentral:rRNA from 1 species
GCCUAUGACCAUAUCACACAAAAUAUGCCCUUUCUCAUCUGACCUUGGAAGCUAAGAAGAACUGAGCCUGAACUAGGCUUGGAUGGGUGACCAUCAUGCACAACACAGGUAUUGUAGGCU